CCAUAUUCACAGGAUUUAUCUUACAGAAUUGCACGGAUUGCAGCCCUAGAGAACAUACAUAAAUAUGGGACUGUGUUUAUGACUACCAGGCAAGACUUCAUCACACCAGAAGAGGGAACAGCUGUCAAAAUCUGUCCGAAUCAUUUUGGCAACCUGUUUCAGCUCUCUACAAUGCUUCACUGCUCAAGAAGAGACUGACAGCUCUCAACAGCUUCAACAGACAGGUUCAUAGAA